AGGUAACGUUAUAGCAAGCAUCGAGGUCUCAUCAAUUCUCAUAAUCCAUACAGCCCAAUUGUUUUUAAGUAAAACUCGAAUUUAACAUCUCUACUAGUAGUUAAUUAAACCUAAUUACCUAUGCACUGCUCUACUUAGUGCAUUAUCCAUGGCUUAAUCAUGGUUCUCUGUGGAUCAUUCUUCUUCCACCACCAGACACACAUGAAGCCUUAUUUACAAAACUCAAGGCAUGUUGACUUAAAAGAUACCUCCCAUUAAAGAAGGAACAUCAUCAAAGGACCACAGGUCCAUAGCAUUUUCACCACCAUUUUGAGUUGCACUUGUGUUGAGGAAGUUACCACCUGAUGCAUCCCAAUUUCCCUCCAUAUAUGGGAGAUGAAAGAAAUUCAUCUGAGGUUCAAAAGCUGGAAGCUCUUCAGGUACCAUAGUAACGGUGUUUCCAUCAUCAGCUACGGGGUUGUUGGUGCAUGAUUUCAACUUUUUCUGAGAAUUGGCAUCUUCAACAAAUUGAGCUUCAUUACAUUCAAUAGCAGCUGACAGAACAGAUGAUAUCUCUGGAGUCCUGGAGCAUGGCUCUCCCCAACCAAAAUCAGAGCAUUCAAAAGAGUUGCUUCCUACAUCAGAGUUGAAGUAGAUAUCACCGCCAGCUGAAGGGACGAACGAACCAAAUCCCGUAUCUGCAGAAGCACUGCUCCCAUUCUCAUAUCCAUACUGUUUUGUCAUGGGUUUCUCUUCAAAAAAUCCAAAAGAAUCAUAAUGGUCAUCCUCCACGCUGUUCAUGAUUGCUGAGUCGGACUGAAGUGAAUACAGGCUCUCCUCAGGAAGGACCUUCUGAGGAUUCACCUUAACAGUGUGUCUUGAUGCAGGGGCGGGAGCUUCAUCAGGAAAGUUUACCUUAGCCUUCUUGCCUCUGAUCCUCCUCGCCUCAAUAUCAUAAGCUUUGGCAGCUUCUUCUGCAGUAUUGAAGGUUCCCAGCCAGACCCGAACCCCUUUCCUUGGGUCACGUAUUUCAGCUGCCCACUUA
rnacentral:misc_RNA from 1 species